GCCGUGGUAGCCUAGUGGUCAAGGUAUCAGAUUCGUGCUUUAAAUAUAUUGAGGCUCAAAUGACCUCCCGUGGUG